GAAACUUGUAAGGUGAAAGAAAAACAGAGAGACACAACAGUUGAAGAUGACAGGAUAAGAUCUGGGCUCUGUGCAGUUUGGAGCUGGAAAAGAGGUGCACUGAAAUAACAAAAUCCCAGAGCCUCAGGGGAAGAGUGUGAUGAUGGCUGAAGAUACCAGCAGGAAGAAGACACUGGGGCCAGUGGAUAUGACACUGGCACUAACAAGACUGGGUCUGGGAAGAAAUAACAUGGCUCCGUUACACAAGUCCUGCGUGCAGCAAACCAUGGCACCCUCACAUGCUGAGCUGGUUUGGCAGCCCCUGGUAACCCUGAAAUAACCUGCAAAAUACAGCGAGAAAAACAGUUUGCAAAACAGACAGAGUCAUAAAGAGGAUCAGAGCGCCAAAAAACUGCAUCGUGAAGAGAAAAACGUUUUUCUGAUCAACUGUGUGAGCAGAGAACUGGAGACGAUGUCAAAUCUUCCAAAGCUUUUCCUCUUAUGGUCCAACC